CCCGUCGCUGUCCGGGACUGAGCUGUCUCGAGAGGACUGCGGACUGCUGUAUCGAGGCUUUCGGGUCGCGUUAUGGCGGGAAACAGUUCAAUCGCAAUGGCUUGAACCGGGUAAAAGUCGUAACAAGGUAUCUGUAGGUGAACCUGCAGAUGGAUCAUCGUCGAAACCUUGCGGUUCCUUUGAUCCUGAGAAACCAACACGCUAGUCUUCACGACUUUGUCGGGAAGGUUGGGAGUAUCACCCCCCUUUGAAGCCCUACUUUGAGGUGUCUAUGUGCGACAAGAGACGUUUCUGGGUGACGUCUGUGAUUGUUGCGCAAAGUUCGCGUUUUGCUGAGCUUUAGACUUGAUGAGCAUUGCUUGAAUGCCGCCUCGGUUUUGUAUUGGUGGUUGGGCACAAGACGUUAGUCUGGUGCGGCACCUGUCUGCCAGGAAAUCUUAAUGAUUCGCUAACGCGAACGCCAAUGCAGAGCUAACUUUUUACGUUUAAUGUUUGCAGAAACGUGGCUUCUUGUCACACUGUGGACUAGCUUCAGCGAUGGAUCGGUCGAUUCGCGUAUCGAUGAAAAACGCAGCAAGCUGCGUUAUUUACCACGAAUUGCAGACGCUUAGAGUGGUGAAAUUUUGAACGCAUAGCGCCGUUGGGUUUUCCCUUCGGCACGUCUGGUUCAGGGUUGUUAAUGAAAUACUGCAGUGUGGCUUGUAUAACACUGUUUGUCGAACGGCACUUGCUUCUAGCAAUUCCCGUUCUAGAUCAGAAUAUAGUGCAAAAUGUGUGUUAGCUGGCUAGUUUGCUAACAUUACACUGAAUAGCAUAGACUCGUUGCUACUGUUGAUUCGUUUACCGACUUAUGAACGUUUUAACGGGGCUAGUGUUUCAACGAGGUUUCUGCUAUUUGCAAUGCAACCUGAGCUCAGGCGUGACUACCGCUGAC
rnacentral:rRNA from 1 species